UGCUCGCCCUCUCCAUGGCGACACCGACACGUGUUUCAACAUCUUUCUUUUAUACACGAUCUUACCUGAAAUUUAAUUUCCAUUCUCAUGUCACGAAUUUUAUCAUUAUCUUAUUACUUCCUAUUGUGUACAGUGAAAGCAGUAAGAAUUGUGGACGGGUUAAUAGCAAAAGACUAUGAUUCUUUCUUGAAUUGAAAUAAUCGUUUUAUCCUAGAUACGUCGGAAACAAUUAGGAGACAGGAAGUUGGGAAUAGAAAUUAGAAAAAGAGAAAGAGAGAGAGAGAGAGAGAGAGAGAGAGAGAGAGAGAGAGACAUUGUCAAUUUUGUAUUUUUGCGUGAACAGGAACUAGUGAAUUACAAUUGACGAGGAUCUUAAAAUGACUCGUAACUUUGCUUAAAAAUUCAAUCCAUCGAAUUUGCAGCCACUCAAAGUUGUUGUACAGAAGAAAUUGAGUUAGGAUAUACGGUAAUUACCGGAGGAAUGUCGUGAUUGCGAGUGAAAAGAAAAAGGUGUCGAGGGGAAUGACUUUGAACGUGUUUGUAUGUGUAUAUGUUGUAUACAUAUAUAUAUGUAUAAUUUGAAGUCCAAGUGAAAUCAGAGUGUUGUCUGGUACCUCCGGAUGUUCAUGCGUGUCAAGAAAAUUAAAAAAGAAAUGAUCGAAGAAGUUCGAAUAAAAAAAAUUGUUUAAUAAUA